rnacentral:rRNA from 1 species
UACGGAGGGUGCAAACGUUGCUCGGAAUCAUUGGGCGUAAAGCGCACGUAGGCGGCCUGACAAGUCGGGUGUGAAAGCCCUGGGCUCAACCCAGGAAGUGCACUCGAAACUGCCAGGCUUGAAUAUGGAAGAGGGUCGCGGAAUUCCCGGUGUAGAGGUGAAAUUCGUAGAUAUCGGGAGGAACACCAGUGGCGAAGGCGGCGACCUGGGCCAAUAUUGACGCUGAGGCGCGAAGGCGUGGGGAGCGAACGGG